CUGGCUGUGUCUGUGAUGUUUGUGUGUUCACGGAUGUGUGUGAUGUGUUCAGCUGCUACACAUACACACACACACACACACUCUCACGCACACACACACACACACACACACACUCUCUCUCUCUCUCUCUCACACACACACACACACAGACGUCUGAUGAGCAGUGCUGAGUCUGUGCAGGUGCUGCUACAGUGGCUUCAUUCAGUGUU
rnacentral:lncRNA from 1 species